GUUUAUUGUAUGCUGUUCCAGUUUGACUGCUAGGAGUGUAAACCUAUUCGUAUGGUUUUUCCUAUUCGGCGGUUUACACCACUCAUAUGGUUCCGGUUCGGCCGUUUACGACAUUCAUAUGGUUUCCUGUUCGGCGGAUUGGUGUUCUGCAGUAGCUGUGCCUGUGUCUCUGGAGGGAAAGAUCUACUAAACGGCGGUUUAACCCUUUUAUGCUGAGGGUGCCGUUACA